UCGGGGCCGUGUGGUAGGCCCGGCCAGGUACGUUUCGGUUUCCUGGGUCGGAAGUCAGGUUGCGCCUGCGCAGUUGACCUGUGUCUGUCCCUGGGCGCGGGAAAGUUGGUUAUGAAGAACCCGGAAGUACGCCAUCUUAGUCCCUUUUGUUCUUUGUUUCCCUCCUCCCUCUGUCCAGACACGUGCCACCUGGUUGUGAAGCAGCCUGAGGUGCCCCAGGGGCAGGAGACCCUCUCUGGCCCCCAGGCUGCCUCCCUGGUGCUGGCCUCGGAGAGGACGUUCUCCCACCCGUCCCUGCAGCAGCCGUCACUUCAGACCUGGCCUUGAACCUCUGCCCAGGGUCCAGGUGCCUCAGACCCUUCGUUCGUGGGCAUUUUCUUUUCCUCGAGCUACCAAAAGAUGCCUUUGUCCUUGAGGUCUGGUUACAAAUCAAGCCCUGUGCCAUUCCUGGCUGGUGUCGUUCCUCUGGGGAAGAAGGCAGCUCUGCUGAACCAGCUACAUCCCUUGGCCCGGCAGGAGGCAGGACGAGGGAGUGAGCUGCGCAAAGAACACAUCCACCUGGGCUUGCUCCUCCGAACACCUUCAACACUCUCAGCCUCCUCUCCCACUCCGUUCUCCUCUUCUGAGCUUUCCCGAAUCACCAGUGCGUGGAGGCGGCCUCUCGUUCCUGUCCACCUCAUCACAGGCCGACACCCUAAUCACAGACAACGGAAACGGCUCCUGGACUCAGGUGCGUUCUCACCUCCAACCUCUCCAUUCCUCCUUCCCAGUGGCCCCCAGCCGUGGUGCCGUCUGCAGCCAACACUGGGGCAGAACCUGGCUUUGGGGCAACGAGUACUCCACGGAGUAGGUCAAUUGGGGUGGGACAUUCAGGCAGAGUGA
rnacentral:lncRNA from 1 species